rnacentral:lncRNA from 1 species
AUGUAUCUGGCUGAGACCCAGGGCUGGGACACCCCCACCCCCCCCCACCCCGCCCAGGGAAGGCUCCUUCCAGCCUCUUCCCGCUUCUCGGGGUCCUUGGCAGCUCUGAGCAGCCGUCGGCUUGUCGAGACUCACCGGAGCCCUUUCUCCACCAUCCAUGGUCGUCCUCCGUCCGUGUCGCUGUGCGUCUCUCCUCUUCCUGUAAUGACAUCACUCGCUGGACUUUGGGGUCCCCCUGGCGCGGAUGACGCCCUCUGGACUUGGUUACAGGUGCUGACGGUGUUUCCAACUAAAUCCAUGUUCUCAGGCUCCAGGUGGAUGCACCAGCAUCCCAGCCGCGCAAGAGGCAUGGCUGCUUGUCCACCGCCCCGGGGCAGCAAGGCCAGGCCCAGCGCCCUUCGCCAUGGGAAAUGGCGAAAUGGCGUCCGCUGAGCAAAGCAGGGCACGAUUUGGCGGAGCCCGGGAUGUUCGCAGGAGCUACAGGCGUCACCAUGACCCAACGUCUCAUCCCCCCCAGACCAAACUGUUCCCCUCGCGAGCCAUCCCCGCCCGGGCCCCUGGCUCCUGGCGACCGCUGCCCCACUUUCUGUGGACGAGCGUGGACGUGUCGCGCACGUGGAGUCACUCGCCGGGCGGCCUUCUGUGUUGGGUUCCCUCCCUGAGCGCGCCUGUUCUCACGGCCCACGCACCCCAGGCUCGUAGCGGAACUGCAGCUAUGUUUGGGGGCGCCUGGCUGGCUUGGUCGGCCGAGCGACCGUUGAUCCCAGGGCUGUGCGUUCGAGCCCCACACUGAAUGCAGAGAGCACUUGAAAAUAAAACCUCGAU